CCGUACCUUAUAAUAUAAAAAUAUUAUAGUAAAAUAGUGGGUCUAGAGGGUGGCUUACCAUUAUUUUAUAUGAAAUUGGCAAUCAGUCAUUCCGCAAGUCGUAAUGAUAAAUUCUUAACGUUUGAAAAAAAACAUUAGUGUCUAACAGAAGAAACGUAAACAUUUACAGGUAAAGAAAAACCACCACUGAAAACACAGAAAAACCAACCCCAAUAUUUUGAGCUUAAAGCUUUAAGAAGCCCAAAAAAUGAGUACCUCUCUUCAGUUCUGAGGUAGGCUCGGAGUGACAUGACAGUCGGCAAAAAGCUUUUUUGUUUUUUUUUGUGCCUAAAACUGUGUGCCGCUGUCGACGUUAGCAGAUAAUCCGGCGCAGCGUAGAAGAGUAUAUGAAAGUCUGCCUUCCUGCGCCUCUCAGAAAGACAACCUUCAGCUAUUCCUUUAUUGUUGCGUCUCUCCGUUAAGUUCAGCCGGAAGAUACCAAGAACACAAUAUAUCGGCGCGGCAAACUUCAGCCCUACGUCGGACCGAGAUGCGCAGAGUCAGUGUGUGGGCUUCCAAAACAGAAAGGAGCAGAGCCGCACCGCACCGCCCCAGUGUGCGCAGACCUUUAAAGUAAGCGCACACUAGCGAGGCGCGGCGCGGCAUGACGCAGAGCUGCCCGCCGCCGCUUGAGAAAUACACACUGAAGCGAUGUCGUCGGGACGAAUGUACUAUAAUCGAUACAUUCGACUUCAUAAUCGACAUCUUCCUUUCCUUUUUCUUUGAGUUCACUUAUUGUCAAUUCCAUUCUAUUGAAAUUCUACAGAAAUUGCACUCCGUCACUCUGUUUUCAACCCAAUACUUAUCUCCCCACGAUUGCCGAUACCAGCCGAAAGAUUCCGAAUUCUUCUUCGAGCAGUAACGCCCUGCUUCGAACCGAGACGCGCCGCGUCGGUGUGCGAUCUUACAUUUAAUUAUAUAACGAGUGCUUUUUUUAGAGGUAUAGAACUUUUAGUUGCAAUAAAACAACGAUGGAUUGUUCGAUUGGCAUGAAUUUUUUUUUAUUCGAAAGAUAAUCUUGUGGCAUUACAUUUUUUAUAUGAUUUCUGGCAUAUGACGGCCACGGCUGGCUCGGAUGUUGUCCGAUUUAUUGAAAGACACGUUUCACUAGCCGUGGCGGUCAUAUGCCAGAAAUCAUAUAUAAAAUGAAUGAAUGUAAUGCCACAAGAUUAUCUUUCGAAUAAAAAAAAUUCAUGUCAAUCGAAUAAUCUAUCGUUGUUUUAAUGCAACUUAAAGUUCUAUACCUCUAAAAAAAAAAAACACCCGAUACAAGCUUCACUACGCGGUAAAAAGAGCAGGUAGCAGUGCCGCGCCGCACCGCACCGCCCACUGUGCGGGCACCUUUAAUGUAUUUCGAGAUAAGUAAACUGAAUUUUCUUUUAUGUAUUAUGCAAUUUUUUAGUUUAUAGAAAUUUAGUACGUACAAAUUUAUUUAAAUUAUUAAAUAAUUUUAAUAUUAACAUUAAAAAAAUACAUAUUGUAUAAAUUAUUUAAGGAGUACAAGUUAAAUUGUUUCGAUUAAGAAAGGGUGCAACAAAAGAAGAAGAAGAAGCACACUAUUUACAUUUUCGCUGCGAAACAUAUUAAAUUUAUUAAUAAAAGUGAUAUAUUUUGAAAAUAAUUAAGUCAGGUAAGUGCUCCCUUAAGUUCAAGAUGUUGUGUAUAAAGUAUGCACGUCCAUUUUUAUAGGUACUACAGCAUAACCUAAGAACUUUGGUUUCGCUACCCAAAAGUGGACCCGGAAAGGAAGUCGACGACGAAAGUAAAAACAAAUUAAUAAAACAAAAGACUAGGCUAACUAACAAUAACUGUAAUUCAACAGAAAACUUAAAUAACAAGUUGCACAGCCCAAUAACGA